CAUUGCAUUCGUCCAUCCGUUUAACCCCAACACCCCCCGAUUUCAUUUUCUUUUUUCCUUUCUUUUACUUCCCAUCAAAUCCCACCUAAACAAACUUCUCAUCUUUCUUUCUUUCUUUAAUUCUAUUACCCAAACGCACCUUAUUAUUUAAUCAAUCAAAAGAUAAUCAGCUUUAUUAUUUUUAUAUUACAAUAUUCAAUUGGUGAUUUUGAUUUGGAUUCCAUCAGAAGUCGAUUCAACCCCUCGGCGAUUGCUUCCGACAUUCAACUUCCGAUCACCCAGGUGGUGGAUAUGAAUCAAGUUGGAAGUGAGAAUACCAGCAGCAGAACAGAGAUAAAUAAUAUUAACAACGGCAACAAUAGGCCUAGGUACCCUCCUCAUUCUUCUCUUCGUCGUAGAGAAUGGAUUCCUCGUGGGGGUGGUGGACGAGGAGUAGGAGGUUCAGUGGACAGCGCUGCAGUAACAGUAGGAGCAUUCGUUGGGGAAGCUAAUGUCCCGUAUUCAUCGAUUCCUUCUGGAGGUCCACCACAGUCACAUAAUAGUAACAGUAAUAAUAAUAGAGGAGGGAGCUUCAGGAGGCAACAGCAUCAUCAUCAGCAUAAUCAUGUAACUCGGGCUGUAAAUCAAAAUAAUGUUGGUGGUGGUAACCGUGAUAGAAGAAGAAGGGAUGACCGAGUUUCUAAUGGACCAGAAGGGGGAGGGGGAGGAGGAGGAGGAUCGUCUUCUUUACCUCAGCUUGUUCAAGAAAUUCAAGACAAACUUUUAAAGGGUACAAUUGAGUGCAUGAUAUGUUAUGAUAUGGUAAGGCGUUCUGCUCCCGUUUGGUCAUGUUCCAGCUGCUUCUCUAUUUUUCAUUUGAAUUGUAUCAAGAAAUGGGCCAGGGCACCUACUUCUAUUGACUUGUCUGCUGAGAAAAAUCAAGGUUUUAAUUGGCGCUGCCCUGGAUGUCAAUCUGUUCAGUUAACUUCAUAUAAGGAUAUUCGUUAUCUUUGUUUCUGUGGAAAGAGGCAGGAACCCCCAUCAGAUCCAUAUCUCACCCCUCAUUCUUGUGGUGAAGCCUGUGGAAGGCCUCUUGACAAGGACAUUCGUGGUUCUGGUUCUAGUGACAGUGAUAGUGAAGUUGUUUGUCGUCAUCGUUGUGUUCUUCAAUGCCACCCUGGUCCUUGCCCUCCUUGUAAGGCUUUUGCUCCACCAAGAUUGUGUCCAUGUGGGAAGAAAACAAUAACUACAAGAUGCUCUCAACAGAAAUCUCUUGUUACUUGUGGCCAGAUUUGUGGUAAACCUCUCAACUGUCAACGCCAUAGCUGUGGCAGGACAUGCCAUGUGGGUCCUUGUGAUUCUUGUGAGGUUCGCAUUGAUGCCUCAUGUUUCUGCAAGAAAAAGUCUGAGGUAGUUGUUUGUGGAGACAUGGCUCUCAAAGGACCAGUAAAUGUCGAAAAUGGUAUCUUUUCAUGCAGCUCCCCAUGUGAAAAAUCUCUUGUAUGUGGAAACCAUGCCUGCAAAGACACAUGUCAUCCUGGUCUUUGUGGGGAAUGUGACCUGUUGCCAGGUAGGGUCAAGUCUUGCUAUUGUGGUAAAUCAAGCUUACUGGAGGAACGUCAUAGCUGUUUGGAUCCAAUACCAGCCUGCUCACAGAUAUGUGAGAAGACCCUUCCAUGUGGGUUGCAUCUUUGUAAAGAGACAUGCCACCCAGGGUCUUGUGCACCAUGUCGGGUGAUGGUUACUCAAAAAUGUCGUUGUGGGUCAACCUCUCGAGUUGUGGAAUGUUUUAACACCACCAUGGAAGUAGACACCUUCUUAUGUGAUAAACCUUGUGGGCGUAAGAAGAAUUGUGGUAGACACCGUUGCAGUGACAAGUGCUGCCCAUUUUCGAACUCCAACAAUGCCGCCAGGAGGCACCUUACUCAGGGCUGGGAUCCACACUUGUGUUCGAAACCUUGUGAGAAGAAGCUAAGAUGUGGGCAACAUGAUUGUGAGUCGUUGUGUCACAGUGGCCAUUGCCCUCCUUGCCAAGAGACUAUUUUUACUGACCUGACUUGUGCAUGUGGAAGAUCAUCGAUUCCUCCUCCACUACCAUGUGGUACACCACCACCCUCUUGUCAGUACCCAUGUUCUGUUCCUCAACCAUGUGGUCACAUGUCUUCUCAUAGCUGCCAUUUUGGGGAUUGUCCGCCUUGUUCAGUUCCUAUACCUAAGGAAUGUAUUGGGGGCCAUGUUGUUCUUAGAAACAUACCAUGCGGUUCAAAAGAUAUCAGAUGUAAUAAAAUUUGUGGCAAGGCAAGGCAUUGUGGGAUGCAUGCAUGUUUAAGGACAUGCCAUCCGUCUCCAUGUGAUUCAAGCAGUGGAGGAUCCAUAUCUGGGGUGAAGGCUUCAUGUGGCCAGACAUGUGGUGCACCUAGGAGAGACUGCAGGCACACGUGUACCUCCCUUUGUCACCCUUUUAAUCCAUGCCCAGAUGUAAGAUGUGAGUUUCCUGUCACGAUAACUUGUUCUUGUGGUAGAAUAACUGCAACCGUUCCUUGUGAUGCUGGAGGAAACAAUAGCAGUUACAAUGCCGACACUGUUCUUGAAGCAUCUGCAAUGUAUAAAUUGCCGGUGCCACUUCAACCUAUUGAAGCAAAUGGAAAGAAAAUCCCACUAGGACAAAGGAAACUUAUGUGUGAUGAUGAAUGUUCAAAAAUGGAGCGUAAAAAAGUUCUUGCAGAUGCUUUUGGUGUUACUACACCAAAUUUGGACGCUCUCCAUUUUGGUGAGAAUAGCACUGUUUCUGAAAUGCUUGGAGACUUAUAUAGACGUGAUGCUAAAUGGGUUUUGUCAGUGGAAGAAAGAUGCAAAAUGUUGGUUCUUGGGAGGGGGAGAGGUGGAGCAGGUGUUCUCAAGGUUCAUGUGUUCUGUCCAAUGCUGAAAGAGAAAAGAGACGCAGUGAGGCUAAUCGCAGAGAGAUGGAAGCUGUCAAUAAGUGCUGCUGGUUGGGAGCCAAAACGAUUUAUUGUGGUUCAUGUUACACCGAAAUCCAAGGCACCCAGUCGGAUUCUUGGUGCCAAAGGUUUGAACACCUCAAACUUGAUACAUCCACCUAAUUUUGAUCCUUUGGUAGACAUGGAUCCAAGGCUAGUUGUGGCUUUGUUUAAUCUGCCAGGGGAUGCAGAUGUGAGUGCUCUGAUAUUGCGGUUUGGUGGGGAAUGUGAACUCGUGUGGUUGAAUGACAAAAAUGCAUUGGCUGUAUUCAGUGAUCCGGCUCGAGCUGCAACUGCUAUGAGACGUUUAGAUCACGGUUCUGUUUAUUAUGGGGCAACUAUAGUUGGUACUAAUGGUGCAUCAGCCUCGAUUGUAGGUAAUGCUUGGGGGGGUGGUAGUGGCUCAACUGUUGCUACAAAUCCAUGGAAGAAAGCUGUAGUGCAGGAACCAUCUGAUGCAUGGAGUGUUGGGGAAGAGUUGGGGAACCCAGAACCGUCAUCAUGGAAUGUAAAAGAAACUCCAGUAAUCAUGACGACUUCAGCGAAUAGAUGGAGCAUCCUGGAUUCAGAAGUUGGUCGGAGUAAUUUCACUAGUCAAGAAUCUCGUAAAGUUGUAGCUAGUAAUGUGGUAUCGGAGAAUAAUCCAGGAAGUAGUUCAAACAGUGGAUCAAACCAAGAUGAUGUUGUGGAUGACUGGGAAAAGGCUUAUGACUGAUCAUAUGUUGUCAUGCUUUCUCUGAUGCUGAAAAGGUGUGUAUGCCACUUCUGUUACAUAAAAUUUGUGGUGAAUGAAGAAAGAAUGGGGCAAAGGAGCGUUAUGGGUGCUCAAUAUGAGGACGGAUUUAGUUCCAGCUUAUGUGAGCUUCCAUCAGGAUAACACGGAGGUACGGAUUGCAGCUGCUGAAAAGAUUACCAAGGUGUGAUGGGGAUAUCAUUGCUGAAAAUGAAGUUGUAGUCUUAUUAUUGUUGCCUUGAUAGUCUUUUCAGAUAUGCAUUCAGAUGUCACCUGAAAUCAAGAGCUGCCAAAAGGAUACUAAUGAGCUAAAAGUGUGCUUCUAAUCACCUCAAUAGAGCAUCAGUUGCUAAUUUGACAUGAAUAAUGUUAAUAACAAAAACAUACUUUAGGCCGUAUCAUUACUUACAGCAAUGUGAUUUAAUGUAAAUUUUCAAUUGAGUUGACCCUUUGUAAACUCGGAUUUGAAUCUUGGUUUUAAAAAUAGUUGUUCCCGCCGCAACGCGCGGUCACGAACCAACUAGUUAUCAAAA